CAACAAAGGGUACAACAAUUAC
rnacentral:siRNA from 1 species